rnacentral:rRNA from 1 species
UAGUCCAUGCCGUAAACGAUGAUUACUAGCUAUUGGCGAUACACUGUCAGUGGCAAAGCGAAAGCGAUAAGUAAUCCACCUGGGGAGUACGAUCGCAAGGUCGAAACUCAAAGGAAUUGACGGGGGCCCGCACAAGCGGUGGAGCAUGUGGUUUAAUUCGAUGAUACGCGAGGAACCUUACCUGGGCUUAAAUGCAUAAUGACAGACUGGGAAACCAGUCCUUCUUCGGACAGAAUGCAAGGUGCUGCAUGGCUGUCGUCAGCUCGUGCUGUGAGGUGUCGGGUUAAGUCCCAUAACGAGCGCAACCCCUAUUUCUAGUUGCCAGCACAUAAUGGUGGGGACUCUAGAAAACUGCCUACGCAAGUAGAGAGGAAGGUGGGGACGACGUCAAGUCAUCACGGCCCUUACGUCCAGGGCUACACACGUGCUACAAUGGUAGAGACAGAGGGCAGCCACUUGGUGACAAGGAGCUAAUCCUUAAACUCUAUCUCAGUUC